rnacentral:rRNA from 1 species
UACAGAGGGUGCAAGCGUUAAUCGGAAUUACCGGGCGUAAAGCGAGCGUAGUCGGUUAUUUAAGUCGGGUGUGAAAGCCCCGGGCUCAACCUGGGAAUUGCAUUCGAUACUGGAUAGCUAGAGUUCGGCAGAGGGAAGCGGAAUUUCCGGUGUAGCGGUGAAAUGCGUAGAUAUCGGAAGGAACAUCAGUGGCGAAAGCGGCUUCCUGGACCAGAACUGACGAUCAGGCUCGAAAGCGUGGGGAGCAAACAGG